GAUGAACGCUGGCGGCGUGCUUAACACAUGCAAGUCGAACGGAAAGGCCGAAGCUUGCUUCGGUACUCGAGUGGCGAACGGGUGAGUAACACGUGGGUGAUCUGCCCUGUACUUCGGGAUAAGCUUGGGAAACUGGGUCUAAUACCGGAUAUGACGAUCUCUUGGAUGGGGUGGUGGAAAGCUUUUGCGGUAUGGGGUGAGCUCGCGGCCUAUCAGCUUGUUGGUGGGGUAAUGGCCUACCAAGGCGUCGACGGGUAGCCGGCCUGAGAGGGUGUACGGCCACAUUGGGACUGAGAUACGGCCCAGACUCCUACGGGAGGCAGCAGUGGGGAAUAUUGCACAAUGGGCGCAAGCCUGAUGCAGCGACGCCGCGUGGGGGAUGACGGCCUUCGGGUUGUAAACUCCUUUCGCAAUCGACGAAGCCUUUUGGUGACGGUAGGUUGAGAAGAAGCACCGGCUAACUACGUG
rnacentral:rRNA from 1 species